ensembl:snoRNA
GAGCAGGUGUCAUAACCUGUUGACUUGGCCAUAGCUAAUGGGUUCCAGUCCAGUGCAACAGCAUUUCCAGGGACACAUGACUGACUGACUGGUGGCUUUUGGUAUCUGGUCUUGGAGACAAAU